rnacentral:rRNA from 1 species
CGCCUGGGAGUACGACCCGCAAGGUUAAACUCAAAUGAAUUGACGGGACCCGCACAAGUAGUGGAGCAUGUGGUUUAAUUCGAAUAUACGCGCAGAACCUUACCAACACUUGACAUGUUCGUCGCGACUCUAAGAGAUUAGAGUUUCGGUUCGGCCGGACGAAACACAGGUGCUGCAUGGUCGUCGUCAGCUCGUGUCGUGAGAUGUUGGGUUAAGUCCCGCAACGAGCGCAACCCUCAUCUUUAGUUGCCAUCAUUAAGUUGGGCACUCUGAAAGAACUGCCAGUGAUAAGCUGGAGGAAGGUGGGGAUGACGUCAAGUCCUCAUGGCCCUUACGUGUUGGGCUACACACGUGCUACAAUGGCAUCUACAACAGGAAGCAAAACGGCAACGUUAAGCAAAUCCCGAAAAGAUGCCUCAGUUCGGAUUGCACUCUGCAACUCGAGUGCAUGAAGCUGGAAUUACUAGUAAUCGUGGAUCAGCGUGCCACGGUGAAUGCGUUCCCGGGUCUU